UUAGUAUUUCUUCUCUCUGUAUUAAUCCACAUAAUAAUUGGCAAAGCAUAGUGAGACGGGGGCUAUUUUCUGAGGGCCAAUUACUAUGUGGAUUGCUACGGAGGGACGAAGUAUUGG
rnacentral:pre_miRNA from 1 species